CUGAGCAGUCUCAGGGAAGUAUCUGAGCAAGUCAGAGCAAUCUGAUUCCAUUUUGCUUCUGGUUGGAGCACUGGAACUCAGCUACUCAGUUCUACUCAAGCAGAGAGUUGUGGUAGAUCAAUGGAACAGAAUAGAGAGCC